rnacentral:rRNA from 1 species
GCACAAGCGGUGGAGCAUGUGGUUUAAUUCGACGCAACGCGAAGAACCUUACCAGGGUUUGACAUCCCCUGACAGCUAUUGAAAGAUAGACUUCAUCUUCGGAUGACAGGGAGACAGGUGGUGCAUGGUUGUCGUCAGCUCGUGUCGUGAGAUGUUGGGUUAAGUCCCGCAACGAGCGCAACCCCUACGUUUAGUUGCUAACGGGUAAAGCCGAGCACUCUGGACGAACUGCCGUUGACAAAACGGAGGAAGUGGGGAUGACGUCAAAUCAUCAUGCCCCUUAUGUCCUGGGCCACACACGUGCUACAAUGGCCGGUACAGAGGGAAGCGAAGCCGUGAGGUGGAGCAAAUCCCAAAAAGCCGGUCUCAGUUCGGAUUGCAGGCUGCAACCCGCCUGCAUGAAGUCGGAAUCGCUAGUAAUCGCAGGUCAGCAUACUGCGGUGAAUACGUUCCCGGGCCUU